CCUCCUCUAGUAUGAGGGGCCAGCAUUGAAGCUGAAAAAAUUGGUAACUUGGUCAUACCAUCCAGUAACUAAUACAUUCUCUUCUUUACAAGUCAUCUCUUAGUACCCCCAAGGCAUUCCCAUGUUCAUCCCAUAACCGCCCAUCAUCGUACCCAUUCCACCCAUCAUUCCGCCAGGCAUCGCUCCCAUUCCCAUGCCGUAGUCGCCAAAGAGCCUGUGUCAGAACGUCAGACCUGUUUACUUACCUCGGCGACUUUGCCAAGCUAGGGCGUGCACGAAGGAAAAAGACAAGGGAUUUGAAAUGGCUUACCCUCCUGGGGGAUACCUCGGCAUCUAUGUGUACCAAGGCGCACGAUAUAUCAGCUGCUGAACCCAAGAUGGAAACCAUGUUGAAGUAUAAGGGGAACCGAUACCAACCCCGUAUGCUCCAGAACCAAGGCCUCCACCUAGCAUCCCCUGAUUCAUCAUACCUAUGCCUCCCAUGCCCUGUGAAUAAUGUUUGGGUCAGCGCCGUCCUUUGUCACGGUAGCGAGGCUGGAAGGGGACUAGAAUGCACCAUCAUGGGAUUCAUCAUCCCCAUCCCUCCCAUUCCACCCUGUCACAAAUUGCAUGAGCUCGCAUCCAAUAUGGCCUUUCCGUUUCGUACCCACCAUCAUUGGACCCCCCAUUCCCAUCUGACCAUCAACGUUAUAUCUUUCUGCGCUUUAAUUUUGACUUACCAUCAUAGGAUUCAUCAUACCCAUACCGGCCAUUCCCAUUCCCAUUCCUCCGCCCUGCUGUCGUUGAGACAUCAAGUAUAUAAGUGAAGAGUUGUAAGCGGUGGGAUUGGAUAGGUGAGAGAAGUAAUAAGUGUUAUUGGCAGGAUGAGCGAAAGAUUCGCGCACAACGUCAGCUUUGGUUCGCGGCUUAGAGUAUGGAAUGGUAGUCAUGGCAGGUGUUUGGCGGAAAGUAUAUCUUUGAUCUCAACGUUCGAGUCAUACAAGAUAGGAUGGGGCAGUGUAAUAGUGAAUAUCUCUCAGCGAGCCCCAACAACGUCAGUCGCGUGACGCGUCCUGUAAUCUCAUCUCACACCGAUCGUAAAGAUGUUAGGUUGCCCCUCUGCGUCAUCUCUCAUCUUUCGCCGCCUGGCCUACGCCGAAACAGUACCAAACGCCAACAGAAAAGCAACGUACCAUCAUCAUCAUCUGCGACAUUGGAUCCAUCUUGAUCUGACAGUUAUCGUCUUCGAGGGUGCUUGUUGAAGGUCAAUAGUUGCUUUUCUGUCGAGGUCCAAAGGCUGUUGAAAAAUGGUAAUAAGGGAAGGCGCAAGAGUUGCGUUUGCGCGUUUGGAAGUUGUAAAAGCCUACUGUUUGAAGGGGUGUAUCAUUGUCAUGUGAGAUAGCAAAUGCCUGAUUAAGGCCGAAGGGCAUAUUGACUCACAAGUUGCAAGAAAAUUGAGAUGUUGUAAAAAGAUUCUGCGAUGCAGUGACUGCUAUUGGUCUUAUCAAGCCUUAGACCCAGCUGGGUUGUAUCGAUGACGUUUAUUGGUGUUGUUUGAUGGUGUUGUGGUUGAACUGUGUGUCGGCUUGGGUUUACGGACGGAUCUCAGAAAUGUAUUUAUGCCCAGGACACCGUAGAUAUUAAGACAUUCGUUGUUCUCGACCAUGUAUAG
rnacentral:sRNA from 1 species